CCAGAAAGUCCCACUGGCCACGCGCUUCCGGCCGCGCGCAGACACACUCGCGCCCACUCACUUCCGCGCCUGCGCAAAUCGUUUGACAAGAGGCAACCUCCGUGAGAACCAAGCUAAUCGAGCGCCGAGCAAAAUGAGCGAGAGAGAGAAUUAAUGGAAGAUGGAAUGGAUCAGGCGAGCCGGCGCCGACUGAGGAGGAGGAGGAGAUUUUAAGGGGCUGAGAGGCGGCGUGAGUAGUGCGUGCGUUUGUGUGCGGAGUCGCGUGUGUUUUCUCGCUAGUUGUCGCUACAGAGCCCUGGCGGUUCGCGCGCUCCUCAGGGGAAUGCUGUGUGGGACUCCCCGCUGGUCCCCUCGGGGGCUGGGCUGCGGGCGAAGUCUGUUGCUGCUGCUAGCUACAAAUGCUUGGUCAGUGGGGAAGACAAGGGCAGCGAUGGUGCCGGGUGGAAGACAACUGCUGCUGCUUGGUCGUUGCCGGAGCGGAUGUCGCAGCGCCGCUCCCCGACCGGCCUUAUCUCUGGGGGCUGCAGGUAUCUACGGCUGCAGUCUUCGAUGCAUUUACGUGCAAGUUGAUCUCGUCGAAAAUCAAUAAGUCUAAAUUUGUUUGACUCGGGCUGCAGAGCACUGCUUCGUUCCCUUCUCCAAUGGUUAAUUUCUUAAAAAGAGCGAACAAGAUUUAAACUUGCUUGGGACCUCUCUCCUGGUCUUCUAUGUGGCGAUGAGAUGAGGGCGAGAGUUCCUAAGUAAUGAAUGAUCUCAGAGAGAGAAAGAGAUAAUCCCGUCUUCCCACAUUCCAUGGUUCAACUCACAGGUGCAGAGGUAGUCCUGCUUCAAAUGAACUGGAAACUUGAUAAAGGACCAGGAAUUCUAACUUAGUCAAAGAAAAUACCGCAUAUGAUGUCUGAUGGAAAAUAAACACUUGGCUUGCUCUAAUAACAAAUAUUGAAUAUUGUAGCACCUUAAAGACAAGAAAUUUAUUGAACCGUGUUUGACAGGCCACUUAUUCAAGUUCCUAAUUUUUAAAUUUUGUAAUCUGCCUUGAGUCUCUGCCUGAAUAGUGGAUUAUAAAUAAAGUAAAUACUAAGUGAUUUCA